rnacentral:piRNA from 1 species
UAGCCUUAAGUUGUGUGCUGAAUAUUGG